UCGCCGCGGGAAUACGAAGGGGGCUAGCGUUGCUCGGAAUGACUGGGCGUAAAGGGCGCGUAGGCGGAUGGCACAGUCAGAUGUGAAAUUCCCGGGCUUAACCUGGGGGCUGCAUUUGAUACGUGUUGUCUAGAGUGAGGAAGAGGGUCGUGGAAUUCCCAGUGUAGAGGUGAAAUUCGUAGAUAUUGGGAAGAACACCGGUGGCGAAGGCGGCGACCUGGUCCUUUACUGACGCUGAGGCGCGAAAGCGUGGGGAGCAAACAGGAUUAGAUACCCCCGUAGUCCCUGUCUCUUAUACACA
rnacentral:rRNA from 1 species